CAGCAGCAGGUGGUUUCAUCCACCCCCACCCCCUCCCUCCUGCUACCCUUCAUCGCUGUUUUCCCCGUCGGCUUGCGUGUGUGUGUGCGCGCCAUCGACGACGCCAGAGAGUGGGGUGAGUUGCGUGGGCGCCCACCUCUUUCUCUGUUCACGUCACCCUCUUCCUCGCAAAUACCCGCUCACGGUACCUUCGGCGCCUGCGCGUUUCCGCAAGGCACCACCUGUCGCUGUGCUUCUUCCGAUGGAGCUGCACCUGUGCUUGUAUGUGUCUGAGUGUUCGCAGCCAUGAGUCUGGAUUGCGAAGGAGAUGGAGCACUGUGCGUGGAGUGCGGUGAGUUCGACUUCUUGCCGUACGCUUGUCCGUGGUGUUGUGGCACAUUUUGCGCGGCGCACGCAACUUGCCACCACAUUCCCGCCCACGCCGCGCCCACCGCUCCUGGCGCACCAUCUACGCUCCCACUCAACAAAGCAGCGGGCGACGCUGCGAUGUCAAGUUCCGCCCCGCUGUGCACGCCUCCGCAAGAGGCGCUGCUAACGCUUACCGAAGCUGGGACGACACUGGCGUCAAGCGCGCCCUCUGCGCUGCAUCAGCAUCGAUGUGUCGUGUGCCAGUCCGUGCUGUGCGCUCUGGCGCCAUGCCCUCAGUGCGGGGACUGCUACUGCGCUGCCCACCGCUUUCACGGUCACGAGGACAUCGCAUCGAAGGCGCGGCAGCAGCGGCGAGCAAAUCAGCGCGCCGUCUCCUUCGGACAGCAGGACAGGAACGGCGCGACGACGGUCGAUCCUGUUGCUGCGUUGUGCGCCCCGUUCACACCAGCACACCCUCUCGUGCUCGCCCCUGUCGGAUACCGUAGCCGCCGGACGGAUGUGCUGGCGCUCAUCGUCGCACCAGCCACCGCCGCAGUGACGAACCUCAUAGGAUCUGCGGUGGGUGGUACCGAAGCGCCCACCUAUACCAUCGGCGUCUGCAGCUUAAUUGUGGCGACAGAGAUGUCAGUGGGCCAGCUACGCGAUCGACUCGUGGGGUUUCUGCGAGAUGCAUCGGCACCCGCAGCGAAGCAGGAUCAGGAUAGCGAGGCGGCCGGGUGGAUGCUGUCUUGGUGGUCGGAGUGGGUCUCCUCAGCGCACGCGACUUUGUUUAGUGUGGCCCCCGCUGCCACCGCCACUGACAGUGCGGCUGUUGUUGGGUCAACAUUGCGCCGCGUGCCAGCGCUGUCGCUGGUGCAGCUCCCGGUUGAUGCUAUUCUCCGGAAAGCACCGAUGACGAAUGCGACGGUGCUGCUGAGCCUAACCGACGCCGCCUCGGCAGACCACACGACUUCGGAAGAGAGGGCGGCUCUGCAGCGCCUUAUGGUAACAGUCCUGUACGGGAAGGCCACCUGCCUGUCGGCACCUUCCUCCUCGGCUGCUGCUCUGUCAACGUCUGCAAGGACGUCUGCCUACCGCGAUGACCGCGUCAAGGCGCUCGCCACGCGUCUCUAUCUUCAACAUCAGCAGCUGCUCCGCCGUACCGCGGCAGGCGCUCAAGAAACCAGCGUGGGUGCCCCGGAUACGGCGGCAGACAAAGCGGAAUGGCGCAACUCUCAGCCGUCGGAGGAUCGCGCCGGGGCCUCUGCGCCGGAGACAGGGAUGCUGCCGGAGCCGGCACUCGACGCUGAAGGUGAUGCUACUCUGUCUUCUGCUACCGUCAUCGAUGUGGCUGGCAACGUGACACCGUUGCCGGCCGCGUCUGUGUGGCCGUUUCGACACGCUCCACCGCUGAACAGCUUCGACUUCUUCAACACUAAGCUGAGUCCGUGUGGCGCUUCGGCGAUUCGCCCUGCUACCGCCCCGCGCGUUGUGGUGGCGGUCUUCGUCGCGGAUGCCGCCAUGCCUGUGGCCUUGAUGCCAAUGUGCAUCGCGCUUGGCCGCGACUGGCCGCUCGCCCGUGUGGUGGAUCGCCUGCGCGAGGAGGUUGGGGAGCAGCAAAUGGCGCAGCACCGUGACGCCAGGGAGGCGCUCAACACCUUCUCUGUGUAUCGUCUUGGCAGCGGCAGCGGCGCCGGUUCGGCAGCGGUGGGCACUGAGGGAGGGUUAGCCUGCUUAUGGAGCGGCCGCGCGAGAACCCCCACGUCGUCCACUCCGGUGACGCUACAAAACAGGGAUGUGCUGCUGCUGUGCCCCGCGGAUUUGCCUGGUGCCGAGGCUGCGGUGAAGGACGAGCUGCAGCGACUACGGGGCUUGACGGGGAAGGCGAGGACGGCGCUCAAGGCCGAUCAAAUGACGAAGUGUGUUGUUAUGUGAAGCGCACGCGCACACACACACGUAAGAUUGGCGUAGUGGCCGCAGAGCUGAUGGCUUGUAUGUGCGUGUGGGUGUGCGCUUGUUCUGAG
rnacentral:misc_RNA from 1 species